UACAGAGGUCUCAAGCGUUGUUCGGAUUCAUUGGGCGUAAAGGGUGCGUAGGCGGCGCGGUAAGUCGGGUGUGAAAUCUUGGAGCUUAACUCCGAAACUGCAUUCGAUACUGCCGUGCUUGAGGACUGGAGAGGAGACUGGAAUUUACGGUGUAGCGGUGAAAUGCGUAGAUAUCGUAAGGAAGACCAGUGGCGAAGGCGGGUCUCUGGACAGUUCCUGACGCUGAGGCACGAAGGCCAGGGGAGCAAAACGGGG
rnacentral:rRNA from 1 species